UCAAACUAAUAGACUGAAAUAGAAAUUUCUGUGGUAGCUGCUCCUGGUGCUGGCUGUGCCCUGUAGCAUCGACCCACACACACACAAACAUACACACACCAUGCAACACAUUUUAAGCCAUCCUCUGUAGGACCUCGGUCACUGAACUUCAGGUUAGCCUAAUUAACACUCUGAAUGGGACUUUGCAUGACGCGCCCUGCAAGCAGCCAGCAGUCAACAAUUAGGUGGCCCACGCUGUGUCUGUGUGUGUGUGUUUCCGUGUGUGUGUGUGUGUGUGGCAGGUACUGAGGCGUAUCUCUGAUGCUAUAAAGCUGAGAGUUCAGGGUGGAAUACUCAGGUCGCCACAGUGGUUGGCCGCAUUACCAAGGGCAGAAAACAACAUUCAUGCGGCUGCCGACUGCGUUUUUACUAUCACAGACGGCUGCUGAGACCUCAAGACAAGGCUCAAAGUUCAUUAGCACUACUGUAUGGAAACACAUGCACACACGGUGAGCAAAUAAAGCCCAGUCGAAGCGGGUUUAACGGAGACGUAGCAGCUUGUAGAUUGUGUCUGGCUAUCUGUUUAUGACUGUCAGAGGCGCUGAUAGUCAUGAGGUUGUUAUUUCUUUAAAAACACUAUCCCUCUUUGUCACGAUAUCGGCUUUAAACCUUAUUUGCCGUGCAGAACAACUACCUGGGGACCUCACGUGACAGAUGAAUUUCACUACACACUCACUCACAUCUCUGUUUCAACUCAAAUUUCAAACACAAACUCCCAGUAAUUAUUGCUGGAUAAUCAAAAAUGUAACGUCCGCUUUGUGUACAACUAAUCAAUAUGUUGAAGAGAGUCCCCAAAAAUGCCAUCAGAGUUCUCAUUAAUAAAUUCCACUGCAGGCUCUACUAAAGAAAAGUGUGUAAAAAAUAAACUAAAUGCAUCCACAAAUUAUAGAGGUGCUGAUGACGACGCGACAAUAAUAUUUUUAGAUUCCCGCAAUUUGUACACUUUUUCAAAACUAGUUCUGCAACAAUACUUACGUUUCUGCACGGACACCAAAGCGAUACUUUCUUCACUGUUCUUACUUUGAGAAACAUGUUUUCCUACAAAACCCUUUCAUCUUUUAGCAAAAGAAGCCAAACGUCUCAAAUGUGUUAUUGUUUUGUAUCAUUGUAAAUUGAAUCAUCUCUGAGCUUUGGACUGUUGAUUGGACAAAAUAAUCCUGAAGACCUUACCUGAGCCUCUGGGAAACCGCGAUGGGCAUCUUUCACUGUUUUUUGACAUGGUGCAGAGGAAACGUUUAAUCGAUUCAUCGAAAAAAAUAGUCGACAGAUUCAUCAGUAAUGAAAAUAAUCAUUAGUUGCAGCCCUCCUGGACAGUUUUUCACUCUGUGCUAAGGACACAUUUUGGUCGGCAUCCAAAACGCAGAGGUUCGAUACCUAAACUGCAGAUUCAUACAACAUUAACAAUAAAGAUUAAUUCUGCAAGUAUUAUCCAAUGCUAAUAGGGCUUUGGUUGAUAAUAUAGCAUGCACUGACUGCAAAAUGCUUGCAAAGACGAACAUGAGCAUUUGCACGGCCAUCAUGGCUCAGUACAAGAGGAAGAGGAAAGAGGGGGGGCCGACCACGUGGGGCCUUUUCAGCUCAAAUAGAAAACUUCCUUCCUCUGUUUCUCUCCGGCUUAUUCACCAGGUUUUAUUUGUAACCUCCGAUUCUGGCAGCUCCUCCACUUGGACCCUGCGUGUAGGGCUGCAGGCAGGCUCCCCUGGCCGGGACACUGCUGUUGGUUUUGUUUUUGGACGUGUUUUUUUGCUGCUCGGGGUACAUCUUUGUGAGGGCAGAGCACAAAGAGGCCCUUUGGUUCUGCGCAGGGUGCUGGGCAGCCUCAAAAUCGAGCCGGCUGGCCAGCACAUACUGGCGCUUUCCACUCCGGAGCUGGACAUUUUGUUCCACUGUUGAACUCUGGGAGAGGCUGAGCGACCGAGGGAGAGACAUAGGGAGAAAGAGAGAGUGAGAGGCUUCAUUCUGGAGGUAAAUCACAUGCUUUCCAGUGGUGAAGGAGGAGGGCUGGAAGUGACGGAGGAGGGUCUGGAGUUGGGUUUGAAACAUACAGGUUUUGGAAGGCUGAUACUGUAGACAGAAGCUUCCUUUAGCCAGUAUUUUAUGAUAUUCAAUUUCUUUCAAUUUAACAUAACACCGUUCCAUUAUAACUUAUCUUAUCAGGUCUUAUUUUUGUAGUUUUUUGGAGGAUCGGGGCAUUCUGGGACGAGACAAUGUAGACAUUCUGGACUGUUGUGUCAGGAGUGCUGAAGAUGCUUCCGACAGCAGGGUGGAGGCGCCACAGGAAGCUGGUGUGGUGUCGAAACCAGAAGUCUAAGUUGCUGCCUGCCACUGCUCUGCGGUAGAAGUUCAGACUGACAGUCUGCAGGGUUGUUGUGGCCGACAGCUGACACAUUGCUCACCCUGGCUGUACUGAGAAAAAGGGAAGUGGGAGGGAUUGCAGUGCAGCAGGUGAACAUGUGACACUGCAUGGUUUCACUUGUUCAGUUGUGUUUUCAUUUUGUACAAAAAGGCCCAUCCCAGGCUUCUGGCUGUUGUCCACAGACAAGUCACCCCACAUAGGUCACAUGAUGAAGAGGGAGGGGGCUUCCAUUGGAGCAAACUCUGGUAUCAGCAACCUCUCUGACCCCCAGUGAUGAACUGUAGGCCAGGCAAGGAACAACAGGAUCCCCGAGUAGAAAACAUUUACACAACCGCAUGAUGGUCCCUUACAGAGCCAGGUUGGUUUCUCCUCUGUCGGAGGGAAGGCUAAUGGACACAUUAGCCGCCAGCUUGUCCCUCCGCGGCGAUUAGGUGGCUGUGAGGUCAUCCCUUCACUUCUGCUUCCAUCCACAUCAGGGAUCUAUCAUUUCAUUACUGCUGUUGGGGAGGAGGGGGAAUGGCCGAGGCAUCCGUCUAUCCCUCCGUCAGUUCAUCCGUCUAUCCGUUUCACUGCUGCUUCGUUUCAAUGUCAAAAUCAACCACAGAGGAGAAAUUAACAAUCGGUGGGCAGAAUAAGAGAUUUUACUGGAUGAUUUAGUAUGGAACUAAACUGUCUGCUGAGAGGACCUAACAUGAAACCCAUGAGUGCUAAUUGUCAUUCUUUUACAUCGCCUAAUUGGGAUAAUUUAAACUGGAUUGAUAGUGAUAUUAAAUAGUUGUUUAUUUUGCGACUGCUUAUUAAGAGGCAAAGUAGCUUUUUUGACUACACUGAUGGUUCCACAGUGUAAGUGCUUUGAGAUGUAGCUGACUGACUGGACGCCAUUCAUUUGAUUCAUGGGGAUACUGUCAGCUGACAGCUCCUUAUUGGAUAAUCUGAAGGCCUUCGCAAUCAUUCUCCUCCAUUUUAAGGCUUAGAAAGAGAACCUCUGUUGUAAGUUGUUCUGAAUAAAAGUCCCUCUUACAUGCAUACAGUGUGAAAUCACACCAGGUGUGUGCGCGAGAGAGAAAGAACAUGUGUGCCUGUGCAUUCUCAGCUGUGGGUGUGCGUCUGCUGGACCUGAGAUGUAUUGAUUGCUGCAGGAAGUGGAAUCUGAUGUUUCACAGCGCUUCCUGAGCUGGAUGGCUUCGCCACAGAUUGUGAAAGCAGUAAGAGGUGGGGGUCUGGCGGGGUGGACGAGGGGGUUUGACACAGGGGAAGUAACCAGUUCAAGAAAACAUGACAGAGAGAGAAAAAGAGAGAAAAGACAGAGAGACAUAACACCGCUGGCUCUGUCCUUGAGCCGAGACUAAACACUGUUCUGAGGAGAAGCCGAGAAGGGAGGCAAACACCGACUCUGCUCUGUGGAAAAUCAAGCACACCCUCAAUGCUCUCCUCUGUCUCAGACCUGGUGUCAUGUACCACAAUAUAUCCAGAUAGUGUCUAAAUCUAGAUAAGAGGAACCGCAGUACCCGCCUCGACCUGGCUUUAAAACACCAAAUGCAUCUAGGCCGACCUCUGCGAUUGGAUCUAACCUCCUUGCUCACAUUUGAUUAUAUCUCAGAGAAAUGUAACCACUUCUAAAGAGAAAAAAAUACACAUUUACACUUGGCCAUGCUGCCAGAGCGGUGGAAAAGGCAGAUAUUCUAUACCUCACCUCGUAUGAUCCUCAUCACCAUGUCCCAGCUUUUUGGCAGUGUGCCAAUCAACUCUCAUCAAGUGUGUAUGGGAGGUUUAUUGUACUGGGGCUGGUGGCAAAUCACAAUAAUAGAUUUUUUGUUUUUGCAAGAUGUUUAUGAUGUCUGAUGUCAGACUGUGGAAACUGUCUUUUUAUUAUCAUGUGCACAAAAAGGUUAUUUUCAGUUGAACGUAAUGUAGAUGACGGCUGGCUACAGUAGAUGUCCGAGUCAUGACAGUACCUUAAGCUGUGAUUUGAAUGAGAUUAAUUAGUGAACAAGCUUUCAGUUUCUGAAAUGGUGUACUCAAACUGAUUAUUUAAGUGUAUGCGCUCUACUUAGAAACAUCUGAUAGUGACAGUCCACAGUUGUAUGGAAUAACUUGUAUUUUAUGCGUUAUGAAGACAGUCUUGUAAGUGGUGAAAUUAUUUUAUUAUUCUUGCUCAACUGUUUUGCACAUAAUGAUAUGGUGUUUUUGCAUUUGUUCGGGGAAAAUAAAUAAAAUCGUGAAGCUUACAAAAAUA